rnacentral:rRNA from 1 species
GAUGAACGCUGGCGGCGUGCCUAACACAUUCAAGUCGAACGGUGACGGGGGCUUCGGUCCCCUGAUCAGUGGCGGACGGGUGAGUAACGCGUGAGUAACCUGCCUCGGAGUGUGGAAUAACACAUGGAAACGUGUGCUAAUACCGCAUAAUGUAUUUGGAGGGCAUCCUCUGGAUACCAAAGAUUUAUUGCUCUGAGAUGGACUCGCGUCCAAUUAGCUAGUUGGUGAGGUAAUGGCCCACCAAGGCGACGAUGGUAGCCGGACUGAGAGGUUGGCCGGCCACAUUGGGACUGAGACACGGCCCAGACUCCUACGGGAGCAGCAGUGGGG